rnacentral:lncRNA from 1 species
UUUAGACCAAGUGUUGAACUUAUGAUCCAUAUGAGGGAAGAUCUACAUGAUAUAUGAUAUUUUAUGGUUAGAUCUUGCCAUUUUUAGGGUUGAUAAGCUUGAACAAAGAAGAUGAACCAAAACAGUUUUUUUGUUUUAAAUGAAUUAGUGGACUGCUGCCCUAAACAGAAAAUUUCGGAUUUGUUAGGGUGCUCUAAAAAUUCUGGACUUGUGAUAUGUUAUAGUACACUCAAUAAGCUUUCCAUAGACUCCGAAACGGACUAAAUCCGACAUCGGAGG